rnacentral:lncRNA from 1 species
CUACUACGAGCGGUCUACUCCGAACUUCUACUACGAGCGGUUUACUCCGAACUCCUAUAGUGGGCGGUCUACUCUGGAUCUCUACUGUAAGCAAAUUUCAUUCGAGCCUUUACUGUAAACACAUUUCUUCCGAACUUCUAUUACAGGUAGACUUCAGUCGAGCUUCUUCGUAGCCGGAUCUCAGAUGAGCUUCUACAAUGGGCAGGACCCACUGGCCAGGUCGCUACUCCAAUUUCCCACGACAACCGAUUUUCGAUCGAGCUUCUACAAAAAGCAAUUUUCCUUCAGCCUUCUACAAGAACCAGACUCCGUCCAAACUUCCAUAGCGGAUGGA